UAUGAGUCGUGAUGCGCGUUAGGGAUUGCAGUGGAAAUCCUUUUGUUUUUUCUUUAAAAACAAAAGAUUGGAACGAAAAGCCCGGCCCUUG
rnacentral:sRNA from 1 species